rnacentral:rRNA from 1 species
CACCUGAUGGCGAGUGGCGAACGGGUGAGUAAUGCAUCGGAACGUACCGGAAGUGGGGGAUAACGUAGCGAAGUUACGCUAAUACCGCAUAUUCUGUGAGCAGGAAAGCGGGGGAUCGCAAGACCUCGCGCUUCCGGAGCGGCCGAUGUCGGAUUAGCUAGUUGGCGGGGUAAAGGCCCACCAAGGCAACGAUCCGUAGCGGGUCUGAGAGGAUGAUCCGCCACACUGGGACUGAGACACGGCCCAGACUCCUACGGGAGGCAGCAGUGGGGAAUUUUGGACAAUGGGGGCAACCCUGAUCCAGCCAUGCCGCGUGAGUGAAGAAGGCCUUCGGGUUGUAAAGCUCUUUCGGCUGGGAAGAAAUCGCAUCUCCUAAUACGGGGUGUGGAUGACGGUACCAGCAUAAGAAGCACCGGCUAACUACGUGCCAGCAGCCGCGGUAAUACGUAGGGUGCGAGCGUUAAUCGGAAUUACUGGGCGUAAAGCGUGCGCAGGCGGUUUCGUAAGACAGAGGUGAAAUCCCCGG